UUGUCUGGGAGUGGAAGGAGCUGUGAGGAUUUCUGGAGGAGCAGGAGCAGCGGCUGCUGUCCCAGCUGAAGGAGCUAGAGAGAGCCAUUGUCCAGAGGAGGGAUGAGGGCGUCUGCAGCCUGUCCUCGGAGAUUUCCCUGCUCAGCGAGAGAGGAGGAGAGAAGGGGCAGCAGCCGCUGAGCGAACCCCUGCAGGGUGCUGGGAGCACUGGGGGCAGGGAGGACGGGACGUUUCGGAAGCCAGAGCCAUCGUUUGUGGAGCUGGAGAAGAGACUCGGUGAUUUCUCUCUGAAAAGUGCCAUGCUGCAGGAGGUGCUGCUGGGAUUCAAAGAGACGCUGCAAUGGGGGCUGGGGAGCGACACAGGUAAGUGUCUGUCUCUGACUGGCCAUGGGGAGAUUUAAGACCAAUAACCAUAUUAACGACAGGGAAUCACAGCCUCCAGCACCUGGAAGCUGUGU